rnacentral:rRNA from 1 species
AGAGUUUGAUCCUGGCUCAGAUUGAACGCUGGCGGCAUGCCUUACACAUGCAAGUCGAACGGUAGCGGGCCUUCGGGUGCCGACGAGUGGCGAACGGGUGAGUAAUGUAUCGGAACGUACCUUUCAGUGGGGGAUAACGUAGCGAAAGUUACGCUAAUACCGCAUAUUCUGCGAGCAGGAAAGCAGGGGAUCGCAAGACCUUGCGCUGAUUGAGCGGCCGAUAUCAGAUUAGCUAGUUGGUGAGGUAAAGGCUCACCAAGGCGACGAUCUGUAGCGGGUCUGAGAGGAUGAUCCGCCACACUGGAACUGAGACACGGUCCAGACUCCUACGGGAGGCAGCAGUGGGGAAUUUUGGACAAUGGGGGCAACCCUGAUCCAGCCAUGCCGCGUGAGUGAAGAAGGCCUUCGGGUUGUAAAGCUCUUUCGGCCGGGAAGAAAUCGCAUGGGUUAAUACCCUGUGCGGAUGACGUACCGGCAUAA